rnacentral:rRNA from 1 species
GACGAACGCUGGCGGCGUGCUUAACACAUGCAAGUCGAACGGAAAGGCCCUGCUUGCAGGGUACUCGAGUGGCGAACGGGUGAGUAACACGUGGGUGAUCUGCCCUGCACUUCGGGAUAAGCCUGGGAAACUGGGUCUAAUACCGGAUAGGAGCCAUUUUUAGUGUGAUGGUUGGAAAGUUUUUUCGGUGUAGGAUGAGCUCGCGGCCUAUCAGCUUGUUGGUGGGGUAAUGGCCUACCAAGGCGGCGACGGGUAGCCGGCCUGAGAGGGUGGACGGCCACAUUGGGACUGAGCUCCGGCCCAGACUCCUACGGGAGGCAGCAGUGGGGAAUAUUGCACAAUGGGCGCAAGCCUGAUGCAGCGACGCCGCGUGGGGGAUGACGGCCUUCGGGUUGUAAACUCCUUUCGCUAGGGACGAAGCUUUUGUGACGGUACCUAGAGAAGAAGCACCGGCUAACUACGUG